rnacentral:rRNA from 1 species
CGAGUGAGCGGCAAAAGCUCAAAUUUGAAUCUGGUAUCCUUCGGUGCCCGAGUUGUAAUUUGGAGAGGGCAACUUUGGGGCCGUUCCUUGUCUAUGUUCCUUGGAACAGGACGUCAUAAAGGGUGAAAAUCCCGCGUGGCGAGGAGUGCGGUUCUUUGGAGAGUGCCUUCCAAGAAUCCAGUUGUUUG